rnacentral:rRNA from 1 species
AACGAACGCUGGCGGCGUGCCUAACACAUGCAAGUCGUGCGAGAAAGUUCCUUCGGGAGCGAGUAAAGCGGCGCACGGGUGCGUAACGCGUGGGAAUCUGCCCUUGGGUUCGGAAUAACAGUUAGAAAUGACUGCUAAUACCGGAUAAUGUCUUCGGACCAAAGAUUUAUCGCCCAGGGAUGAGCCCGCGUAGGAUUAGCUAGUUGGUGAGGUAAAGGCUCACCAAGGCGACGAUCCUUAGCUGGUCUGAGAGGAUGAUCAGCCACACUGGGACUGGGACACGGCCCAGACUCCUACGGGAGGCAGCAGUGGGGAAUAUUGGACAAUGGGCGAAAGCCUGAUCCAGCAAUGCCGCGUGAGUGAUGAAGGCCUUAGGGUUGUAAAGCUCUUUUACCCGGGAUGAUAAUGACAGUACCGGGAGAAUAAGCCCCGGCUAACUCCGUGCCAGCAGCCGCGGUAAU